rnacentral:rRNA from 1 species
UACAGAGGUCUCAAGCGUUGUUCGGAUUCAUUGGGCGUAAAGGGUGUGUAGGUGGCGCGCUAAGUCGGGUGUGAAAUUUCGGAGCUUAACUCCGAAACUGCAUUCGAUACUGGCGUGCUUGAGGACUGGAGAGGAGACUGGAAUUCAUGGUGUAGCAGUGAAAUGCGUAGAGAUCAUGGGGAAGACCAGUGGCGAAGGCGGGUCUCUGGACGGUUCCUGACACUGAGACACGAAGGCCAGGGGAGCAAACGGG